rnacentral:lncRNA from 1 species
CACUCUUUAUUUUUCCAACCAUUUUCUUCGACUCUUCUGGCACACUGGACUUCUUGUUAAGAAAUUUUGGUGGUCCAGUUAACUUAAAAGCAGGCUCAGGAGUAUAACAAUGAUCACCAAAAGUAUUGAAUAUAAGUUCACUGGCAGCAUGGGGACGCAUAAUCGUUAGGCGAGCCAGUGCGGAAGUCCCAGUAGAGGAUUGAGCAACAAGAUCGC